ACUUGUCUCAUAUACUUCAGAUAAGGGAUACUCAAUCUAUACCAAAUAACCUUUAUUCUCUCUGCUGAGCAGGCUGAAGGAGGCCCAACAACAACCUGGAUUGACAGCCAGUAAUCCCCCUGCAGCCCCAUUAACAAGACCAAUGAAGCAAACAUCUCAAGGAAUCUGGGAUUGAGACUCGUCACCCUUCACUUCUGUGUUGUCACUUUAAGGAAGAACACACACCAUCAGGCACUGUAGACUAGCUAUUUGCAAGGGGAAGUAGAACAAGCAAAGCUGCUUGGUGAAAACAAAACAGAGGCAAAGAGUGGCAGGAAAACUAGAGACAAUCUGGGCCCAAAGAGUCCUGCAGAGCACAGCUGCUUGGGAGCCUGACAGUAUCCCAGUUCUUUGUUCCUGUCUGUCAUAAGGCCCAGCUGUGCUUCUUAUCCUUGAGCUUCAUGAGACUCCUUUGAUCCCUUACCUUAAACCUCCUUUAGUUCUAAA